GACGAACGCUGGCGGCGUGCCUAAUACAUGCAAGUCGAACGCGUCUACGUUAAUGAAAUCAAUGUGCUUGCACGGCGAUGGAUUUAACAUUAGACGAGUGGCGAACUGGUGAGUAACACGUGGGUAACCUGCCCUCAAGCAGGGGAUAACACUUGGAAACAGGUGCUAAUACCGUAUAACAACAAAAACCGCAUGGUUUUUGUUUGAAAGAUGGUUUCGGCUAUCACUUGAGGAUGGACCCGCGGCGUAUUAGCUAGUUGGUGAGGUAAUGGCUCACCAAGGCAAUGAUACGUAGCCGACCUGAGAGGGUAAUCGGCCACAUUGGGACUGAGACACGGCCCAAACUCCUACGGGAGGCAGCAGUAGGGAAUCUUCCACAAUGGACGAAAGUCUGAUGGAGCAACGCCGCGUGAGUGAAGAAGGGUUUCGGCUCGUAAAACUCUGUUGUUAAAGAAGAAAAGGUGUAAGAGUAAAUGUUUAAAAAGUGAAGGUAUGUAAAAAGAAAGAAAAGGAGAAAGAAGGGAAAGAAGAAGAAGGAAAAA
rnacentral:rRNA from 1 species